GUAGUUUGACUCGUCGGCUCGAGGACGACGCUGGCGGCGUGCUUAACACAUGCAAGUCGAACGCUGAAGCCUGGUCGUUUGGCUGGGUGGAUGAGUGGCGAACGGGUGAGUAACACGUGAGCAACCUGCCCUCAUCUCUGGGAUAACUCCGGGAAACCGGGGCUAAUACCGGAUAGGACUUCUCACCGCAGUGGUCGGGGGGUGGAAAGGGGUUUUUCCCGGAUGGGGAUGGGCUCGCGGCCUAUCAGCUUGUUGGUGGGGUGAUGGCCUACCAAGGCGAUGACGGGUAGCCGGCCUGAGAGGGCGACCGGCCACACUGGGACUGAGACACGGCCCAGACUCCUACGGGAGGCAGCAGUGGGGAAUCUUGCACAAUGGGCGGAAGCCUGAUGCAGCGACGCCGCGUGAGGGAUGACGGCCUUCGGGUUGUAAACCUCUUUCGGCCCUGACGAAGCGAGAGUGACGGUAGGGGCAGAAGAAGCACCGGCCAACUACGUG
rnacentral:rRNA from 1 species